rnacentral:rRNA from 1 species
AGAAUCUUGGGCAAUGCGCGAAAGCGUGACCCAGCAAUGCCGCGUGCGGGAUGAAGGUCUUCGGAUUGUAAACCGCUGUCACCCGGGACGAAAGUUGACUGUACCGGGGGAGGAAGCCACGGCUAACUACGUGCCAGCAGCCGCGGUAAUACGUAGGUGGCGAGCGUUGUUCGGAUUUAUUGGGAGUAAAGGGUCCGUAGGAGGUUUGUCAAGAGUGGGGUGAAAUCCCGGAGCUCAACUCCGGAACUGCCCUGCUGACUGAUGGACUAGAGUACUGGAGAGGUAAGCGGAAUACCAGGUGUAGCGGUUGAAUGCGUAGAUAUCUGGUAGAACACCAAGAGCGAAGGCAGCGUACUGGACAGCCACUGACUCUCAUGGACGAAAGCGUGGGGAGCAAACA